UACGUAGGCAGCGAGCGUUGUUCGGAGUUACUGGGCGUAAAGGGUGUGUAGGCGGUUGUUUUAAGUUUGGUGUGAAAUCUCCCGGCUCAACUGGGAGGGUGCGCCGAAUACUGAAUGACUUCGAGUGCGGGAGAGGAGAGUGGAAUUCCUGGUGUAGCGGUGAAAUGCGUAGAUAUCAGGAGGAACACCGGUGGCGAAGGCGGCUCUCUGGACCACAACUGACGCUGAGGCGCGAAAGCUAGGGGAGCAAACAGG
rnacentral:rRNA from 1 species